rnacentral:rRNA from 1 species
GACAGAGGUGCCGAGCGUUAGGCGGAAUCACUGGGCUUAAAGCGUGUGUAGGCGGAUCGUUAAGUACCUUGUGAAAUCCCACGGCUCAACCGUGGAACUGCUGGGUAUACUGGCGGUCUUGAGCCACCUAGGGGCGAGCGGAACAAGCGGUGGAGCGGUGAAAUGCGUAGAUAUCGCUUGGAACGCAGACGGUGAAAACAGCUCGCUGGGGGUGUGCUGACGCUGAGACACGAAAGCCAGGGGAGCGAACGGG